rnacentral:rRNA from 1 species
GGACUACCAGGGUUUCUAAUCCUGUUUGCUCCCCACGCUUUCGCGCCUCAGCGUCAGUUGCGGGCCAGUGAGCCGCCUUCGCCACUGGUGUUCUUCCCAAUAUCUACGAAUUUCACCUCUACACUGGGAAUUCCACUCACCUCUCCCGCACUCAAGCCAGGCAGUCUCAAGCGCAAUUCCUGGGUUAAGCCCAGGGCUUUCACGCCCAACUUGCCAAGCCGCCUACGCGCCCUUUACGCCCAGUAAUUCCGAACAACGCUCGCCCCCUCCGUAUUACCGCGGCUGCUGGCAC